UUCGAUGAUACGCGAGGAACCUUACCUGGGCUCAAAUGUAUGUGACGUAUUCUGAAAGGGAUACUUCUUCGGACAAUAUACAAGGUGCUGCAUGGCUGUCGUCAGCUCGGUGCCCGUGAGGUGUUGGGUUAAGUCCCCGUAACGAGCGCAACCCUUGUCCUUAGUUACCAGCACGGUUAUGGUGGGCACUCUAAGGAGACUGCCGGUGACAAACCGGAGGAAGGUGGGGAUGACGUCAAGUCAUCAUGGCCCUUAUGUCCAGGGCGACACACGUGCUACAAUGGCCGGCACAACGGGAAGCGAGUUCGCGAGGACGAGCGGAUCCCUUAAAGCCGGUCGCAGUUCGGAUUGAAGUCUGCAACUCGACUUCAUGAAGCUGGAAUCGCUAGUAAUCGUGGAUCAGCCAAGCCGCGGUGAAUACGUUCCCGGGCCUU
rnacentral:rRNA from 1 species